rnacentral:rRNA from 1 species
ACACAUGCAAGUCGAGGGGCAGCAUGGUCUUAGCUUGCUAAGGCCGAUGGCGACCGGCGCACGGGUGAGUAACACGUAUCCAACCUGCCGUCUACUCUUGGACAGCCUUCUGAAAGGAAGAUUAAUACAAGAUGGCAUCAUGAGUCCGCAUGUUCACAUGAUUAAAGGUAUUCCGGUAGACGAUGGGGAUGCGUUCCAUUAGAUAGUAGGCGGGGUAACGGCCCACCUAGUCUUCGAUGGAUAGGGGUUCUGAGAGGAAGGUCCCCCACAUUGGAACUGAGACACGGUCCAAACUCCUACGGGAGGCAGCAGUGAGGAAUAUUGGUCAAUGGGCGAGAGCCUGAACCAGCCAAGUAGCGUGAAGGAUGGCUGCCCUAUGGGUUGUAAACUUCUUUUAUAAAGGAAUAAAGUCGGGUAUGGAUACCCGUUUGCAUGUACUUUAUGAAUAAGGAUCGGCUAACUCCGUGCCAGCAGCCGCGGUAAUACGGAGGAUCCGAGCGUUAUCCGGAUUUAUUGGGUUUAAAGGGAGCGUAGAUGGAUAUUUAAGUCAGUUGUGAAAGUUUGCGGCUCAACCGUAAAAUUGCAGUUGAUACUGGAUAUCUUGAGUGCAGUUGAGGCAGGCGGAAUUCGUGGUGUAGCGGUGAAAUGCUUAGAUAUCACGAAGAACUCCGAUUGCGAAGGCAGCCUGCUA